UACGGGGGGGGCAAGCGUUGUUCGGAAUUACUGGGCGUAAAGGGCUCGUAGGUGGCCAACUAAGUCAGACGUGAAAUCCCUCGGCUUAACCGGGGAACUGCGUCUGAUACUGGAUGGCUUGAGUUCGGGAGAGGGGUGCGGAAUUCCAGGUGUAGCGGUGAAAUGCGUAGAUAUCUGGAGGAACACCGGUGGCGAAGGCGGCAUCCUGGACCGACACUGACGCUGAGGAGCGAAAGCCAGGGGAGCAAACGGG
rnacentral:rRNA from 1 species